UACAGAGGGGGCAAGCGUUGUUCGGAAUUACUGGGCGUAAAGGGCGCGUAGGCGGCCUUCUAAGUCGAACGUGAAAUCCCCGGGCUCAACCCGGGAACUGCGUCCGAUACUGGAAGGCUUGAAUUCGGGAGAGGGAUGCGGAAUUCCAGGUGUAGCAGUGAAAUGCGUAGAUAUCUGGAGGAACACCGGUGGCGAAGGCGGCAUCCUGGACCGGCAUUGACGCUGAGGCGCGAAAGCCAGGGGAGCAAACGGG
rnacentral:rRNA from 1 species